rnacentral:rRNA from 1 species
GAUGAACGCUGGCGGCGUGCCUAAUACAUGCAAGUCGAGCGAACAGACGAGGAGCUUGCUCCUCUGAUGUUAGCGGCGGACGGGUGAGUAACACGUGGAUAACCUACCUAUAAGACUGGGAUAACUUCGGGAAACCGGAGCUAAUACCGGAUAAUAUAUUGAACCGCAUGGUUCAAUAGUGAAAGACGGUUUUGCUGUCACUUAUAGAUGGAUCCGCGCCGCAUUAGCUAGUUGGUAAGGUAACGGCUUACCAAGGCAACGAUGCGUAGCCGACCUGGGAGGGUGAUCGGCCACACUGGAACUGAGACACGGUCCAGACUCCUACGGGAGGCAGCAGUAGGGAAUCUUCCGCAAUGGGCGAAAGCCUGACGGAGCAACGCCGCGUGAGUGAUGAAGGUCUUCGGAUCGUAAAACUCUGUUAUUAGGGAAGAACAAAUGUGUAAGUAACUAUGCACGUCUUGACGGUACCUAAUCAGAAAGCCACGGCUAACUACGUG